AUUGAACGCUGGCGGCAGGCCUAACACAUGCAAGUCGAACGAGUGGCGGACGGGUGAGUAAUGUCUGGGAAACUGCCUGAUGGAGGGGGAUAACUACUGGAAACGGUAGCUAAUACCGCAUACCAUCAGAUGUGCCCAGAUGGGAUUAGCUUGUUGGUGGGGUAACGGCUCACCAAGGCGACGAUACCUAGCUGGUCUGAGAGGAUGACAAGCCACAAGGGAAAUGAGACACGGUCCAGACUCCUACGGGUGGCAGCAGGGGGGAAUAUUGAACAGUGGGCGCAAGCCGGAUGCAGCCAGCACGAGUGUAUGAAGAAGGCCUUCGGGUUGUAAAGUACUUUCAUCGGGGAGGCGUUACCCGCAGAAGAAGCACCGGCUAACUCCGUGCCAGCAGCCGCGGUAAUAC
rnacentral:rRNA from 1 species